CGCGCCCGACUCCGCUGCAGCCGUCCCGUUACCGGCGACCAGGAGAAAGCGAGCCGAGCCGAGAUCUGACCGGUACAUUAACUCUUCUCUAUUCAUCCUAUUUUAUCUCCUUUUAUCUCCCUGUUUUAUCUCGGGGUCCCGGCGAAGGUGGAUGUUCUGGUUUAUUGUCGCGGGUCGGAAUCAGUCUGGAAACUCUCCGGUUCCGCUGCGGAGUGUGAGGGUGCUGGUGUUCUGAGAGGAUCCGCGCUGGAGUCUGAGGAAAGGACCUGAAGGUUUUCACCACCCAUCACAUCUAUCAGGGAGGACUACCCCAGUAAAACCUCAGAGGUACCUAAGAAAGUCUUAGAGACAUGGAGGAGGAGCUUGAAAGUUUCCUAAGGUCCAGAGAAGUUUCUGAGGAGGACAAAUUAAAAUGGAUAAGAUUGACAGGUCUGUCCUCCUCGUCAUGACUGAUGAAGAAAUGACGAAAUAUAUCACAUCAUAUGGUGAUCGGCUGGCUGUCAUGUCAUUUUGUCAUCAAAAAAAGGAAGUGUUAACAGAGAAUCUGCUUUACAAAAUCUGAGACACAAAAUUGAAACAAGAAAAACAGGAACAAAGGGAGCCCCAAAACACCUUCAGUCAUGUUUGGCUGCCACACAACUAGAUGCAAUGGCAAUAAUAACUCUGCACAAAAAAACUCCAGAAGACUUGAAAUUGGGUGGCUUCAUUUAAAAAAAAGUGCUGCAGACUUUGAGGAUGUAGAUUACACAAUACCAGGGCCUUCUACAAGUUCAACACCAGCUGAAGGAAGAAGUUAUGCAGUCCACCACACCACCCAGGGCUUUCAAGAUGCUGAUGCAAUGCACAUUUCAUCCCAUGCCAAAGAAUUUCUGAAUGUAAUUGGUGUGAUGCAGUCCUCAAGUGAGCUCCAGGACACAGCUACAGGCUAUGAAAUACAUGGGUUCUCCAUUCAGGCACAAGAAAAGUCACAUGAAAUUAUUGUAAUACAGGAAGACUUUCCUAUUUCCUAUUUAACAUAGGAAAACAUCAUUCCGAUAGUGCUGAUCUUGAUUCGACAAUUGAAUGGAAUUUGGAGUAUAAUGACGUUGAUCUUACACAGGAUGCAGAGCCAAAUUAAGUUUCUAAUGUAGCAACAGCUGCUGGACAUGACCAUCUGCAACCAUCAUCAAUACACCCAGUAAAUGCUGAGAACUUCCAACAUGUUCUGGUGAAUCAGAUUGUUACGAAAGUGAGGGGAUGGACCACAAUUUAGAAGUGGCUGACCGACAAGAUGAGUUUCAUUUACCCCCACCACUAGAAGAAUCACCCAGUCCAAGACAAAAACAGUAUGCACAAAUACGGAGGGUUAAAGUAGUGGAUGACCUUUUAGCCAUAUUUAUGGACAGCAAUUGAUUCAAAGAUUGAGACCUGAUUUCUUUGAAGCACAGUGGCAAGCAGUUGGAAGAAUCUGGGCAAAAGGAUACAUUGAUCAUGGUAUAAUUCCAGUGAGACUUUCCAAAGCUUUCAUUUUAGCCUGCGUACUCGGUAUUGAUGCAGUGGAUGAAGAAGUCCUGAUGUCCUCUUUUUUUAACAAUCUGUCUGCUGGCGAGCGGUCGUCUGUUGAAAAGGCACUUUAAGGCACAAUGGAUGAUGAAGACAAGGAGGACUUGCUUGAUAAGGAUGGGGUCACACAACCUGCCUUGCCAAGGAAACACACAGGUUGCCCUUGAGACAAUGGCACAUAAAGCCAUUCUUCAAGAGCCUAAAUAUGUAAUUGACUGUUUCUCUCACCGUCUUAGCAAAUUACAGUUGAAUCUCUCAGACAAAGGGAGUGUGCUGUCUUUGUAUGAAUCCAAAAGGCCAACAAACAAAAGAGUGGUUGAAAUGCUACAAACAUCCUCUGUGAUUCUCAGAAUCUCAGAAGGAGCAAACAACCUUUAAUCACUUGCAGCGCUACAUCAGAAAUGCAGAGCAGCGCAAACUAGAGAUGUUCUUGCGUUUUUGCACUGGUUCAUCUGCAGUCUGCACAGAAAAAAUUGAAGUAAGUUUCAAUGCUGUAACUGGCUUGAGCAGAAGGCCUGUUGCUUAUACUUGCGGAGCUGUCCUUGAAAUUCCAUACACAUAUAGCUCUUAUCCAGAAUUUCGCACAGUUCGAUAAUGUCCUAUCUGGUGACUUCUUUUCCAUGGACAUACUCUAAUUGUUGAUUCAGUUUAAUAACCUAACAGGCUUCAGUCAAGUUACUGUUUUUGUGCAAGCACACAAAUGUUAGACUUACAGUACUACAGAGAUGAUACAGUGUAUGUACACUAGAGAUCAAAAUUAGAGAACAACAUAUAAUUUCCUAAAUAUUAAACUCACUGCAUAGCCCUAUUUAAAAUGUUCCAAAGAGGAGUAAAAUAGUAAUAUUUUAAACAUAUUUCACAAGUUAUGUAUAUUAUCAAGCACAAUAUAAAUAUAAAAAAUAGAUAUUUAAAAAAGAACACUGAUCAAAAUUAGAGAACACUUUCAGAUACCUCCCAGUUCCUGGUGUCAAUCUGGCACCUGGUGCUAAUUUCCAUAAUUAUCUGACAAACCCUAUUUAACUCCAGUUUUCACAGACUUUGCAAGAUGGCCAGCCGUUCUAAAGUAACUGAAACCCUCCGGCAGCAGGUUGUCCAGAUGAAGGCCAAAGGAAUGACCAUAUCUGCCAUAGCAAGAGAAGUGGGUCGUUCCAAAUUUGUGAUUUCUAGAAUGUUGCAUCUUUACAACACUACAAACUCAUUCAAGUCCCACAAGAAGGCUGGUCGCCCACGAAAGACAAAUGCAAGAGAGGACAGGAUAGUACGGAGAAUCUCAAUGAGCAAUCGAUUCAACACAGCAACUGGAAUUGCUCGCCAGUUCAGCAUUGAACAGGGCAAGGAUCUGUCUCGACAUACAGUGUCUCGAUGUUGAAGAGCAGUUGGACUGAAAGCCCACUCUGUAGUGACCAAACCCCUCAUUAGCAGAAAGAAUCAAAGACCUGGCCUUUGCUGAAGAACAUGUUGUGUGGACAGAGGAGAAGUGGUCCAAAGUUCACUUUAGUGAUGAAAGUAAGUUUAAUUUAUUUGGGUCUGAUGGGAAACAUUAUGUUCGUCGUCAGACUGGGGAAAGACUGAACCCAAAGUGUGUAAAGAAGUCAGUGAAAGGUGGAGGAGGAAGUGUCAUGGUUUGGGGAAUGUUUUCAGCAACAGGAGUUGGGCCACUUAUACAGCUACAUGGCAGAGUGAAUGCAAAUGUUUAUCAGAACCUUUUUCGACAUGCAGUUCCUUCCCAUCAGCCAGCAGUUUUGCCACACAGCAAAACGGGUAAAGCAGUACCUUUAAACUGAAAAUAUUGAAAUAGUGAAAUGGCCAGCCCAGAUUCCUGAUCUAAACCCAAUAGAAAACCUUUGGAAAAUCCUUGGUGACAAAGUUAUGGCCAAGAAACCCACUACUGUCACCAAACUGUGGAAGAGACUGAAAGAAGAGUGGACCAGAAUCACACCAGAGCAGUGUGAGAGACUAGUAAUGUCCUGUGGCCACAGAUGUGCUGAAGUCAUUCAAAGCAACGGACUGUACACUUCCUACUAACUGUUGACUGUUGUAACCUUCAGAAAAAAAUGCUGUAAUCUUUCUUGUUGCUAUAGGCAUUGUUCAAAUCAAAUCAAAUGUAUUUGUAUAGCGCUUUUUACAACUGGUGUUGGCACAAAGCAGCUUUACAGAAACAUGAUUACAGGACAAAGAAUCAGGUAAAACAUUAAACAUAGAAUAUACAUAAUACAGAACCAGAUUGUUGUUCUCUAAUUUUGAUCAUUGUGCUUUCUGCAAAAUAAAGGUUUUUUUUGUUAAAGUGCCUUGGUUAUUUUACAAAAUACUAUUCUCGUUGCAUGGUAAAGCCACAACAAAACAUCCUUCAAAUGUUGAGCAAUGAAGACUACACUAUUUGUGAAAAAAUCAAGUGUUCAUAAAUUGUUCUCUAAUUUUGAUCUCUAGUGAAUGUUGCAGCAUGACUCACUUAAAAUGAGUGUCCAUAAAAUGUCUGUAAGACAUUAAAUCAAUUCCAUUUUAUAACUUGAAGAAAAAUGUAUGAAUUGAAAAAGAAGCUACUGGUACUGGGUUUUAUUUUUUUUCAGCCUAUGAUUUGUAUGUUGCCUGCCACCUUGUGGACAUUUGGUAUACAGUUGUUUUAAAUAUUCAAAUUUGUUAGUAUCUUAAUGCACUUCAAAACAUUGUUCUUGCAGUCUUACAUUUCACUGUUCUGUUUUAAAAUGUGAAUAUUCAGGUCUUCUAGGUACUAUGCAGUUUGUACAGUCAGUUCAUGUACCUUAAAUUAAAUGGUGUUAAUUUAGAAUCUUUAAUUAAAUUUGUGUUAUAUAUAGUUUCCCUUUUCAUGUACUGGUUUGCUGUUGUUUUAAACUAGCAUUUUGUUCAGAAAAAAUGUUUAACAGAAAUUAGCUUUUAUUUAAUGCAGGAAUGCUGCUUUAAAACAUUUUGUCUGACAACAAAAUGCAGCCAAUUUUUUUAUGUGGCUUUACUAUGUACAUGUUGUGAAAAUAUUUUUGAUUAUUUUUAUUGAUUUUCUUAAAUUAAUCUUCAAUACCAAUUUAAUAUUCAAUGUAAAAUGGUAAUGUAAACACACACCCACAGGGAAAGAACAUCUCAUUUAUUGGCCUAAAAGUAUAUUACACAAAAGCAAACUAAAGAGACACACAAACAGUUAGUUUACAGCUCAGCCAUUACCAUUAAUAUCCAGUCUGUUGUGCCCUCCUUCAGCAUUACACAUGCAUACAGUUGUAUUAAAAAGUCUGGGUGCCCCUAGUCAAAUUCCAUGUUGUUAAUGUUCUAAUGAGGUUAACUCAUCUCAUACACACACAAUUCUGCACAUUCUAGUACACAAUAACUGACAAUUUUCUGAAUGUUUCAUUCUUGGUUGAAAAAAAUAUAUAUUUUCUUACAUGUAAAAUUAUGUUUGUUCUUUAUGUUGAAUUAAGAAUUUAAAAUAGUCUUCACUCUAGGCAAAUGGUUACAAAUGUAUAGGACUAAAAAAAAUUAAUACACUACAGUUUUAUAGGUAGUCUAUCUUACAUGAUUUACACAGCAUUAGAAUAUUGCAAUAUGCUGUAAAUAUGCUAAAGUGCUGUACACUUUAGAUUCAGGUUAGACUAUGUGAGGACAUCUUGUUUAUCUUCUGGAACUCAGGAACAGGUAAUAAAUGUUCUUAAGGGACUCCUCUGACAUUUGUGCCUCUUUGUGCAUAGUCCCAGCAGACCCAUUAAUUGGUCCAUUAUUAUUUUUAAUUCUGGUAAGUAUCAGUAAAAUGUGCAUAUUAUGCCCACAAAUGUACAGUGUCCAAUAUUUUGUACAAACAUUUUCAUACCUUUUUUCACAUUCUGUGCUUAAUUCUUCAAACAGUGUGGCUUCAGCGCACCUUGCAUGACAGUUAAUACAGUAACCAUGUCAAUGAUGCAGAUUACAGAGUUGCUUUUAUGUAAUUCCUUAAAAAUAUGUACAAAUCAAUAGCUUUAUAAGCAUCUCUUGGAAGGGUCAGCUGGGAUUCAGCCAUAAUAAUGUUGCACAGGUCAUACACAUCCGGGUCACAUGGGACUGACUGACGAAAGGUGCAUUCUGUUUUGCAUGUUUGAAUGUCAUCAUCUUCAAUUGGGGUAAGGAAGUCUGUUGUUCUACAGAGCCCUGGCAAGGCAUACAUUGCAUUUGGCCGGCCACUGGGAACAUUGUCAUUCUUUGAUGGCCGAAUGAUGUGUGAAUCCCACACUUCUGCAGUGUCAUCCAACUCAUCCUAGAAAAGUUUUAGAAAUGAAAGAAAAUGUCAAAUAAUUACAUUUAGGUUUCAUGAUGCAGCAAUAAUAAUAAUAAUAUAACAUACAACAAUACCCUGUUAAAAAUCCAACUCAAGCCCAGCUUUGGACAAUCUUAUGCCUGGCUCACACUACAAGAUAAUCGUUUUCAACACUGAUUGCGUUUUAAAAAAUCAUGUAGUGUGGGUGGGCCGAGUCUAAACCACCUUAACUAUCAAUGACUGGUCCUUGAGGGCCACUGUGAUUGAAACACUGGUUAUCCAGGUUGGUCUUGAGGAUCUUUCUGGUCGACCAACUUGGUCAUGCUGGUCAAGAUGAUAACGCUUGUAGACCAGCUUAAACCAUCAAUUAUCAACUUAAUCAGAUUGAGCAGGCCCAUGCUGUUUUUGAAUGAUAUCCACAUCAAAUACAAAUACAUACAUCAAAUUCAUAUAGUUUAUCACAUAAACUUAACAUCUGAAAAAUGAAGUAUUAAUUCUUAAUAAACAAUUUAAUCACAUAACAUUGAUACAUUACUGUUAUUUGCAUCUUGAUUGUUUAUAAACAAAUGUAUUAUCUUUCUCUUUGACACUCACACAUACACAGCAAAUGUUCUUUCCACUCAGCUUACCUGAAUGAGUCCCAUGCAGCAAAACUGAAUCAGGCUUUUUUCCAAAAAUCCUCCAUCGAAGAUACCCCUGUCCUUGAGGUUUACAAAUAGAGCUAUCCAAAACUCCAGGCAUUCUUUUCGCAAGAAUCUCAACCAACUUUCUAUUCUCUGGUUAGCUGUGCUUGCCCUAUCCAGGUAACUCUCGGUGCUUUCAUGGUGAUUCCUCCUGAAGAAACGUUGAAAAUCACACACAUGUCCAUUUUCUGUUCCAAAGUCCCCCCUCACAAUAGCUGGGCCGCCCCCCAAACGCUGGACAGCUUCAAUGUAAUAUCCUCCCACCAGCCUAGGGUCGCUACUUGUUGUAUAAGCAUUAAGCCACACGAGUUUCCUGGAAAACCCAUCUAUACAGCCAUUAAUACAAAUACGUGACUCCUGUGGGAUCCAGCUCUUUUAGAAUCAAUCGGACAUCUUCUUUUCUCACUCGAUAUCCAUUUAGUCUGCAUUUAGCAUACAUCCAUCUGUAUCCAUGAAGUUGUCCGGAGCUCUGAAGUUGGGCUCGUAUAAAGCCAAGUACACUGUUCAGGCUGGAGUAAUCCUUUCUUCUAGAAAGUCUUGCUGAUCUCAGUAAACAUUUCAGUUUACGCUCAAUUAUGCCAUUAUCAUGUUUGAUUUUGAGAAUUUAUAAUAUAUCUCUAUAUUUCAGUCCAAGAUCAAAGUAAAAUGCAAUUAGUUGGUCCAUACUCUGUAGUUGAUGCAAGAGGCAACGCAGUUUGCGAGGGAACGCAAAACUUUUGCGAUUGAACGAAUUUUUUUUGCGAGGG